UUUGGUUGCAACGACCAUCUUCUUUUUAUUUUAAGGGUUUUUAUCGAUAUUUUCCCUUUCCUUCUUUGGAAUAAAUAAAGUUUGGUGGCGACUCUAUUCGAAUCAUUUUUCCUCGAGCACGUGAACGCUUCGCGAAGGAUCGUAUUUUUUAAGAUGCGACAAGUGGCGACUCUGCUGGGUAAAUGCUCUGAGAUAGAGAUAUUCAAGCCUAACUUAGUUCUAU
rnacentral:lncRNA from 1 species